CGGGUGCCUGCCUUCAGCCCUGUCUGGGUCACUCAGCCUUACACCAAAGCUCUGUCUCCUGCAGCUUUUCUAGGGGCUGGGCAUGCCUGGGGUUGUUGCAGGUCUUAUCUCUGACUCAGCCCCUGUGAGUCAUGCCCCUUGGUAUUCCCACAGCUUGUGAGGGUAUCUCCUUGGACUCUGCUUGGAUCCUCCUAGCUUUUGAUGAGCAGCUAGCCCCUGCUGCUCCUUAACAAGUAGUGCUAGGUUCAAGAGAUCCACCCUAUCAGAUGCCAUGCACAAUUAUUCAGCUGGCUGCCUGCACUGACUUUCAACCAGAAUUGGUUGGGCUGCUUUCUCUGGGUCACUGAAUGGUUGAGAAAUGAGUUAACACCAAAGACCCUGAGAGAGGCAGCAAUCUCUACCAAAUGAGGAAGCGACUUACCUGAAAAUCUGUAGAGGUAUAUGCAUCUUUGAACAAAUAUAAAAAUCAUGACUGCACUGGCGAGAUAACCAGGAGGAUUAAAUGUGUACCAGCUUACUGUUUCACAGGAGAACUUCAAACUUGGUCUCUAGCCUUCCCUCAAACAAUCUACUCUAAGAUACCAACUCCAGACAAAAAAAAAAAAAAAAAAAAAAAAAAGUUUUCCUAGCUUCUUCCAGAAGCUAUGUGCAGGGAACUGAAAGAUGGCUAGAGAGGUAACUAGCCCAAAGGAAGACAUGCUUUCAGCUUUCUCUGAGAUGCCCCCAGUCCUCGUCACUGUCUGGUUUCCCUGUCAGACAGAUUUAGUGCAACGAACUUAUAACUCCUGGUAAAGAGACUAGACAUAAACCUUCCCGUUUGUUGCAUGAUGGAAUUACUCUGCUGUAAACGAGCAAUGAAUAAAUGUACUAAAAGAAAGCAUCACUUUUUGUGGGUUCACAUAGUAUACAAUAAAAAUAUAUGGUCCCCCAGUUAUAAAAU